rnacentral:rRNA from 1 species
CCUACGGGAGGCUGCCGUGAGGAAUAUUGGUCAAUGGGCGAGAGCCUGAACCAGCCAAGCCGCGUGAAGGAAGAAGGCGCCAAGCGUCGUACACUUCUUUUGUCGGGGAACAAAGGGCGCCACGUGUGGCAUUGUGAGUGUACCCGAAGAAAAAGCAUCGGCUAACUCCGUGCCAGCAGCCGCGGUAAUACGGAGGAUGCGAGCGUUAUCCGGAAUUAUUGGGUUUAAAGGGGGAGUAGGCGGUCCGGAAAGUCAGCGGUAAAAGCCCGGGGCUAAACCCCGGCGAGCCGUUGAAACGGUCGGACUAGAGGCGGCGAGAGGUACGCGGAAUGCGCGGUGUAGCGGUGAAAUGCAUAGAUA